rnacentral:rRNA from 1 species
GACGAACGCUGGCGGCGUGCUUAACACAUGCAAGUCGAACGCUGAAGCACCAGCUUGCUGGUGUGGAUGAGUGGCGAACGGGUGAGUAAUACGUGAGUAACCUGCCCUUGACUCUGGGAUAAGCCCGGGAAACUGGGUCUAAUACUGGAUGCUACAUGUCACCGCAUGGUGGUGUGUGGAAAGGGUUUACUGGUCUUGGAUGGGCUCACGGCCUAUCAGCUUGUUGGUGAGGUAAUGGCUCACCAAGGCGACGACGGGUAGCCGGCCUGGGAGGGUGACCGGCCACACUGGGACUGAGAGACGGCCCAGACGCCUACGGGAGGCAGCAGUGGGGAAUAUUGCACAAUGGGCGAAGGCCUGAUGCAGCGACGCCGCGUGAGGGAUGACGGCCUUCGGGUUGUAAACCUCUUUCAGCAGGGAAGAAGCCACAAGUGACGGUACCUGCAGAAGAAGCGCCGGCUAACUACGUG